rnacentral:rRNA from 1 species
GACAGAGGAUGCAAGCGUUAUCCGGAAUGAUUGGGCGUAAAGCGUCUGUAGGUGGUUUAUUAAGUCUACUGUUAAAGAUCAGGGCUUAACCCUGAGCAGGCAAUAGAAACUAGUAAGCUAGAGUACGGUAGGGGCAGAGGGAAUUCCCGGUGUAGCGGUGAAAUGCGUAGAGAUCGGGAAGAACACCAACGGCGAAAGCACUCUGCUGGGCCGAAACUGACACUGAGAGACGAAAGCUAGGGGAGCAAAUGGG